UUGGAUAUGAUUGAAUGGGGAAAUCUUUCUUUGUCAAGGAGAAGAUGCGGGUUUGAUUCCCGUUAUCCGGCCAAA